rnacentral:tRNA from 1 species
AUUUAGAUAGUUUAAUAAGAAUUACAAUUUGUGGUGUUGUGGGUGCAGUUUAUGGCUCUAAAUU